GUGGGUAGAAGCGAAAAAUACAAAUACAAAGACGCAAAGGUUCGCAUCUUCUUCUUCUCCACUCGGCUUCUCCUCCUUCUACUUGGCGCUUCUACUCAUACGAGCACCAGACCCAAAAAAAUCGAAUUUUGGGUUUUUUUUGGAUGCAGAUGUAAGUGUAGAGUGGCCGGAAGAUAAAAGUAAAAUGCAACAGAAUUUGAUUUGGGGAUGGUUUUUCAUCGCAUCCGGCUCUGUUUUCUUUCUGGGUUUUCUCUAUGCUACCGUCUUAUCCAAGCUUCUUCCACCUUCAGAUAAUACUAUCCUCUCCGCCAUACAAAAUGACCGUUAUUAUUGCUUUUUGGUGCCCUUGACUCUCCCAGUCCUUGUGGUUGCUGUAUACUUUCAUUGGCUCAGCAUGAAACUGUUCAAACAUGCGUGAUUUUUCUAAGCCCAUCAGGUUAACCUAAGCAUUCCUCAGUUAACAGAAAGCCGUUUCAUCAACACUCAGACCUGAAGGCUGGAACCCCUACAACCAUACCAGUGGUACAUAAUCACAUUCCUCAGUAUUUUGGCCAAACACACUGACUGCUGGUAUUCUGUCUUCUUGAGCAUAACCCACUAUUUGUCAAACCAAAUGUGGUCCCUAGAUUUUCAUUUAAGAAUUUCUUGAAAAGUCAUUUUAAUAAUUCUUUGCUUUCUUGUUCAUAAGUUUAAUUAUUUUUUUUCCCCCGGAAAUGUUUCCAUUCAAGAUCAUGAAUUCUUAGUGGCAAAUGCUGUAAACAUAGGAAUCGCAGUGAGUCUUUUC